CUUAAUUUACAAACGGCGCCCCGUACGUUAAAAUGUAUUAUUUUUUUAUGAAGAUGGAAAGACUGCGGUGCUGAAUGACUUGGAUGCUGAAAACACAACAACUCUGCCAAUGAAACCAUAUCCAGUGCCAACUGAAAACAGCCGAAGCAGCAAUAACUUUAUUAAUACAAUCAUGGAGAAAACCCCUUCAGAAAGUGAUUCAACAGUUCCUGCUGUUAACUUCAAGGAAGCUUUGAAUUUGAAUGACUCUAAGAAUCAUCCACAGAGAAACGAGGAACCAGGUAACAUUAAGAUCGUUCAAAGCCGAAUUAUACUGCAGCAAUACUACAAUGUAU